UAGACACACGCAAAAAUUACCCCUCAUUAAUUUUAAUCAUUUUAUGAUUUAAUGAUCUAUAUUUACAUUCACUGAAUCUUUUCUCUUAUAUACUUUUGAAAUCGACAUUGUUUUCAUCUGCGACAAUGAAUUUAUGUUGUUCAUUUUGCAAACUAGUUCGAUCCGCUUAUUUAAUACCACCUGGCUGUGUAAUCAUUACAAACUAUGGGGUGUCAUUAAUGUCAAAGCGGGAAUUGGCUAUUUCAUUUAACGUAACCAAUCGGGGUAGGCUUAGAAGUAAUCCCACAGACCGACCGUGUCAUAACUUAUGAAUAUGCAUACAGCGGAACGGAAUUUACCGAUGGUUAACGAGUAUUGUUCAAGCACAUUGUAAUGAUUCUAAGAGAAUCAUGAAAACGGAAAGGUGGAAAAAAUUAUGGACACCUGUGUCAGAGGACGGAUUAUGUGGAUGGGUGAGAACUUUUGAGGAAGCUGAGAAUGUUCGAAAAGCCUAUGAGAUAGAGACCUCCAUCACAUAUGUUUCUAGGAAAAAGGAAGCGCACUUCGGAAGGCCAGAAAUAGUUAUUAACGAGAAGUCUCGGGUUCGCUUUAGUGAUUUAGGAGAUCCCUCUAUUGUCCCUUAUGACGGAACACCAUUCGUUAUUCUGGCAAGGUGCGAAAAACACUGCAUUUUUGGGAAAGACAAACACCAAAAUAAGAAGAAUGAAAUGAAAGUCUGUCAGAUCCCUUCAUGAAAGGUCAUUUAUACACCUCAAGGGUGACCAUCCAGUCCCAAAGAAAAGUAAAAAGUUACUCCAGGCUUCAAAGAAAAAAGGAUGUCAGGCCAAGAUAAUCAUGAAAGAUGUUGUAUUCUUCCAUGACUAUCAGGUACAGAAAAACUGAAAAGAAAAGCAAGUGAACAUCUGAGGGAUGACAUUUCAGACGUUCCUGGCAAAGUAAAAAUAACAGAGACGAAUUUAUAUCUUGCUUCCAAAGAGUGAAGAUCACGAGUGAACACAUCUUACCGGACAACUUGCAGGCUUCAUGAAUCAUCUGUCCAAGGAAGUUAGAGAUAAACUUGGUGAACUUGUUGGACAUGGUGUAACAAGUGUUUCAGAGAUGCGAAGACAUUUGCAUGUGUAUGUUGAUGCCUUGCUCUUUAAAGAUAUUAAGCGUCCUGCAUUGUCCGAUGCUGCCUACUAUCCAACAGACGAAACAAUCAGGACACACAUCUACCUUGCCCAGCUGAGGUUGAGAUACUCAAGGAUAGAUCAAUAAAAUAUCCUGCAAAAGGUAGCAGAGUGGCAAAACAAUUAUCCAAAGGAUAAUUUCAUCUUUAUGCCUGCCUCUGCAUGCACCAACUGCCAGAGAUAUUUUGAGGAACAUAUAUUGUGUGGAGCAAGAUGAUGAUGAUGAGGUCUAUCCUCAAAUACAGACAGCAGAGACAACAUAAUUUUUCUUCUGUCAUCAGAGUGAAUUUCAACGUCAUCUAUUGUACAGGUAUGGAAAUUCCCUGUGCUUGCUAGAUGCAACCUACAGAACCACAAAGUAUGCAUUGCCACUGUUUUUCCUUGCUGUCAAAACCAACGUAGGGUACAGUGUAGUGGCUGAAUUUAUUGUUCAGCACGAGACGAAGAGAUCAAUAAUGCAAAGCCUACAGACAAUAAAAACUUGGCUCCAUAAUGCACCAGACAGGCCAGCAGAGUGAUACUGAAAGCUUUGUUUUUAUCUGUGAUUUUCACAGAUAACAAAGCUGGAUUAGAUGGGUCAGCAAGACAGACACUUGUCUUACUGAUUACAAAGACCGCGUGCUUGGAAUGCUGAGGAGAUGUGCUCAUGCAUCAUCAGAAAAGGAGUACAUAGAGGCCAUCAUCAGCUUGCAAAGUUCCGGUAUUUGGGCCCGGAACAUUCGCCUAAGGAACUGGUUCACAAAAACUUGGAUGACUGAGAAAAAGGGGUUUUCAAGUACUGAUAUUCCAAUUAAUAGUGGUGAUUUAAUCAGUUAAAUUAUUAUGUUAUAUACUUUUUGUCUGUCUGUCUGUCCGUCCAUCUUUCUGUUUGUCUGUCACAAAAUCUUGUGAACACUUCUCCCCCUAUAUGGUUUAUUGGAUAGACUUAAAAUUUUGUACAGUGCUUCAUUAUUAUUUAAUAAUGUUCACAUUGUUAUGACCCAUGGAUGUAAUAUUUUGCUACAAUUUACAGUGGAUCAAAGAAGAGCAUUUUAUAGCGUUUUCAUGUGCAAGGGUAUAUUACAUUGGCCACAUCGAUGUUGAAUAUUUUUCCAUAUCAUUUAGUACAGUAAGAGGAGGGGGUGUAAUUUGGAGCACUUUCAAUUUGGGAUGCUGGGGAGGCAUUCAAUGUUAAUAAAAUCAAAUUAUAUUUCUACUAUGUACUGUGCAGUACUGAUCAUUGGGUUGUACUUACAUAUGUAGCGAUGGGUUUGGUCCCAGAGGUAUGGAUCAGGACUCUUGGUGAAUACAAACAAUGGUCUGGAGAGACAGAAUAAAGUCUCCAAGUAUCAGUUUUUAAAGCAAGGAAAGAACAACAAUGUCUCAGGAAUGAUAGCAAGCCUUGUACAUCAGUAUUUACCCACAAUGAUGCUAAAGUAAGCCCAAGUUUAAUUUUCUAAUGCAAUGUUCUUUUAUUUGUUAAAUGCAUGUGCAUGGAUUUUCUUGUUUCAUUAACGUUAUGUCCGGAAACAUAAACAUUAAACAUUGAAAUUCACAUGAUUUCAGAAUUAAUAAUUUUGAAUGAAAAGAUAUCAUGUCGCUUUAGCAAGGAAAAAUGUAUUAUUAGCAAUUAUUAUGUCUCCCCUCUUCCAGGGGGAGACAUAUUGUGUUUGUACUUUCUGUCAAUCUGUCUGGCUGUCACAGAAUCUUGUGUACGCUUCUCCUCCUUUAAGGCUUAUUCGAUAAAUUUGAAACUUUGUGCAAAGCUUCACUCUCAUUUGUAGAUGUGCAUAUUGUCAGGACAGGAGGAUACAAUUGUUAUUUAAGAGGAGUGGGGGUGUAAAAUAGUUUGUGAACACUUCUCCUCCAAUAUGGCAUAUUGGAUAACCUUGAAAUUUUGUAAAAUACUUCAUUAUCAUUUAAUGAUGUUCAUAUCGGUCUAAUAAGGAAUCUAAUAUUUUCCUACAAUUUACAGUGGAUGAAAGAGGACUGUUUUAUAGCUUUUUACAUAUGUACAAUGGUAUGUUCACUUUCCCACUGGUACUUCAGCAUAACAGUCAUUAUUUUUGUAUCAUAUACAACAAUGACAUUGGUCACAUCAAUGUUGAAUAUUUUCUCAAUCUUUUUCCUCAAUGCACAUAGUACCGUUCAAAAUGUCUAAAUUCCUGCUCAUGCUGUCUCAUCCAUACCAUACAGUGCAUUUAGGGGAGGGGGUUGUGAUGUGAAGCAUAUCCAAUUUUUGGAGCUGGGGAGACAUUUGUUUUUAACAAAAACAAAUUAUAUUUCAAAAAUGUCUUAAGUGAUUUAAGAAUGAUGAUAAAAAUCAAUGAGACAUAAUAGAAGAUUUGUUUUUAUGAAUGCAAAGUUAUAUUUUGCAUGCAAGUUAUUUUGAUUAAUUGAUGAUUAUAUUUAGUUUUCACGAAAAUGAGCAUGUAUAAGAGUCAUUUGAUAAUCAAUGACCUUCACAGACAAUGUAUUACAAGCGAAAUUUUAUUGUCAGGCAACUCUUUCUACAAAUAAUGUUUAAAUGUUGUAAUAUACUGAAACUUAUGUACAGUGUACCUACAUUAUGUUCCAAUAAUGUAUAUUUUGUGAGAAAUAGUACACGAUUUACAGCAUACAUAGAAGUCAGUACAUUAAAUAAUUCAAUGAUUCAGAAAUCAUGAAUUUGUUUUCAAUGAUGUUCUAUUAUGAAACUUAAAUCAGCAUUCUGAUAUUACAAUCUAAUAUGUUUAAAAUGUUUUGUGAAUCACAUAUAGGAUAAAGGUUUUAAGUACUAACAUUUAGUCGAUUUGAUAUUUGUAAUACACCUUAUGAUGGUGCUCUGAUAUGAUUUGUAAAUUGUAAUCUGUAUAGUAUGAUAUUAUAGACACGUCGAGGUCAUAUUGGGCAAGGUGUAUGUCGAACCCAAUGUUUUUCUUUUCAAGGACCCCCAUAUAUUUACGUAUAACCCCUCUAGGUGUCUUUAUAACAAAUUUAUCCUGCUAAUGAUUUUACAUUGAUUAAAGGCAUAUUGACAUUA